GACGAACGCUGGCGGCGUGCUUAACACAUGCAAGUCGAACGGUGAAGCGCCUUCCUUUUUGGUGGGUGUGGAUGAGUGGCGAACGGGUGAGUAACACGUGAGUAACCUGCCCCCUUCUUCUGGAUAACCGCAUGAAAGUGUGGCUAAUACGGGAUAUUCUGGGUCUGUCGCAUGAUGGGUCUGGGAAAGAUAUUGUUUCGGUGGGGGAUGGGCUCGCGGCCUAUCAGCUUGUUGGUGGGGUGAUGGCCUACCAAGGCGGUGACGGGUAGCCGGCCUGAGAGGGUGGGCGGUCACACUGGGGCUGAGACACGGCCCAGACUCCGACGGGAGGCAGCAGUGGGGAAUAGUGCACAAUGGGCGCAAGCCUGAUGCAGCGACGCCGCGUGGGGGAUGGAGGCCUGCGGGUUGUGAACCUCUUUCGCCAGUGAAGCAGGCCUGCCUCGUUUGUGGGUGGGUUGACGGUAGCUGGAGAAGAAGCGCCGGCUAACUACGUG
rnacentral:rRNA from 1 species